CGGGGCGUAGCUCAGUUGGCUAGAGUACCUGCUUUGGGAGCAGGGGGUCGCUGGUUCGAGUCCAGUCGCCCCGACCA
rnacentral:tRNA from 2 species